UUCCCCCAAGAGCAAGCAUUAAAUGCGACAGUGGUGAAGAAAAACUCCCUUUUAGCGAGAAACCUCGGGCGGUGAGGAAACUUCCUUUUAGGACGAUUCUCGGACAGACCCAGGCUCUUGGUAGGUGGUGUCUGAAGGUGCCGGUUGGGGGGUGUGAUGAACAGUGGCAAUAAUGUUCACAAUAAAGAUAAUGGAACUAUGACUAGAAAUAGUAGCUGUAAUAGUUCAUGGUGUAACAGGACACUGCAUGGCACAGCGGGGUGU